rnacentral:rRNA from 1 species
AGCAGCCGCGGUAAUUCCAGCUCCAAUAGCGUAUAUUAAAGUUGUUGCAGUUAAAAAGCUCGUAGUUGAAUUUCGGGAUCAGUUCGCUGGUCGUGCCUCUGGUAUGUACUGGUGUUACUGGUUCCUCCCUUCUGACGAACUGUCAUGUCAUUUAUUUGGUGUGGCGGGGAAUCAGGACUGUUACUUUGAAAAAUUAGAGUGUUUAAAGCAGGCUCGCGCUUGAAUACAUUAGCAUGGAAUAAUGAAAUAGGACGUUCGAUCCUAUUUUGUUGGUUUCUAGGAUUGACGUAAUGAUUAAUAGGGAUAGUUGGGGGCAUUAGUAUUCAAUUGUCAGAGGUGAAAUUCUUGGAUUUAUUGAAGACUAACUACUGCGAAAGCAUUUGCCAAGGAUGUUUUCAUUAAUCAAGAACGAAAGUUAGGGGAUCGAAGACGAUCAGAUACCGUCGUAGUCUUAACCAUAAACUAUGCCGACUAGGGAUCGGAUGGUGUUAAUUUUUAAUGACUC